GCCUCCUUCCCCUACCUGCUUCUUAUGGGCAGCAGGCUGCUUUCUGUGGCUCUGCAGCUGAGCAGCUCCCAGCCUCGCUUCAACCUCUCACCCAACUAAAGGCAGUAGCAGCAGCUAGGCAAAGUCCAGUGCA